rnacentral:rRNA from 1 species
GAUGAACGCUGGCGGCGUGCCUAAUACAUGCAAGUCGAGCGAACGGACGAGAAGCUUGCUUCUCUGAUGUUAGCGGCGGACGGGUGAGUAACACGUGGAUAACCUACCUAUAAGACUGGGAUAACUUCGGGAAACCGGAGCUAAUACCGGAUGAUAUUUUGAACCGCAUGGUUCAAAAGUGAAAGACGGUCUUGCUGUCACUUAUAGAUGGAUCCGCGCUGCAUUAGCUAGUUGGUAAGGUAACGGCUCACCAAGGCGACGAUGCAUAGCCGACCUGAGAGGGUGAUCGGCCACACUGGAACUGAGACACGGUCCAGACUCCUACGGGAGGCAGCAGUAGGGAAUCUUCCGCAAUGGGCGAAAGCCUGACGGAGCAACGCCGCGUGAGUGAUGAAGGUCUUCGGAUCGUAAAACUCUGUUAUUAGGGAAGAACAUAUGUGUAAGUAACUGUGCACAUCUUGACGGUACCUAAUCAGAAAGCCACGGCUAACUACGUG